GGUUAGGCCUAUGGUCCCACAUUUCUAAGAUUUAGUUAGGGUUAGGGUUACAUUUCAUCUGUAGUCCAUUGCUACUGGAUAAUAGGUUGGGUGUAAUUGGCUACCGAAUUGGGAGAAAGGGGGGUAAAAUCUGAUACAAAUGUAUGAAAAAGAACUGUGGGAACAUAGGGCUACAUUUU